GGGGGCAUGGCUCAGGUGGUACAGCACCUGCCUAGCAAGCAGAAGGCCCUGAGUUCAAAUCCCAGUAUCACAA
rnacentral:tRNA from 1 species